UGAGAGGGAUGAAGAGAGAGAAAGGUGGCACCAUUUCCUGGGAUCCAAUGGCCUCCUGGUGUAAGAAGUGUGGGCAGCAAGACCCCAGAUACUUACCUUACACCUUGGGGCGGAUCACAGAGGCAGAGAUGAGGGCUUACCACCAUUUCCUGGGAAGUUGCGCCAGGCUAGAAUAUAUGGCAAAACAAGCACUUCCACUGCUCCAGACCUCCCAGCGCUCAGAAGCAGUGUCUGUUCCUGGUAUCAGCAGUGGCACAGCCCACGAACCAGCGGAGCAUUGGAUGCGGUCGCCUUUUUUUUGAGGAUAUAGACCAAGAGAUGUGGCGAAGUACUUCCCUGGGGCUCCAGUGGUGUUAAGAGAGUAGAUGUAUAGGGCUGCAGUAUACCCGGUCAGCCCUGAACACUGGGUCACGAGUGACAGAGCCGCCGGUGUGGUCUUUAACAUAUAUAUUUAUGGGAGGGAGGGCUGUGAUAUGUGGAGCUCUCAAAAGUGUGGGGCCUGGACCAAGGGUCACAAGGAAACUUUUGGGGCAAUGGAAGCGUUCCAUAUCUUGAUCUGUCUGAUGGUUACAUGAGUGUAUAUAUUUAUCAGAAUUCACCAAACUGUACACUUAAGAUCUGUGCAUUGUACUGCAUGUAAAUUAUACUUCAAUAAAGUCCUAUUAGCAU